rnacentral:rRNA from 1 species
AACGAACGCUGGCGGCAUGCCUAACACAUGCAAGUCGAACGAGACCUUCGGGUAUAGUGGCGCACGGGUGCGUAACGCGUGGGAACCUGCCCUUAGGUUCGGAAUAACUCCCCGAAAGGGGUGCUAAUACCGGAUAAUGUCUUCGGACCAAAGAUUUAUCGCCUUUGGAUGGGCCCGCGUUGGAUUAGCUAGUUGGUAAGGUAAAAGCCUACCAAGGCGACGAUCCAUAGCUGGUCUGAGAGGAUGAUCAGCCACACUGGGACUGAGACACGGCCCAGACUCCUACGGGAGGCAGCAGUGGGGAAUAUUGGACAAUGGGCGAAAGCCUGAUCCAGCAAUGCCGCGUGAGUGAUGAAGGCCUUAGGGUUGUAAAGCUCUUUUACCCGGGAUGAUAAUGACAGUACCGGGAGAAUAAGCUCCGGCUAACUCCGUG